CGGACGGCUGAGUAACGCGUGGGAACGUACCCCAAAGUGAGGAAUAACUGCCCGAAAGGGUAGCUUAUUGCCGCAUAUGGUCUUCGGAUUAAAGGAUUUAUCCGCUUUGGGAACGGCCUGCGUACGAUUAGAUUGUUGGUGAGGUAAUGGCUCACCAAGUCGACGAUCGUUAACUGGUCUUAGAGGAUGAUCAGUCAGACUGGAACUGAGACACGGUCCAGACUCCUACGGGAGGCAGCAGUGAGGAAUCUUCCACAAUGGGCGAAAGCCUGAUGGAGCAACGCCGCGUGCAGGAUGAAGGCCUUCGAGUCGUAAACUGCUUUUAUGGGUGAAGAAUAUGACUGUAACCCAUGAAUAAGCACCGGCUAACUACGUGCCAGCAGCCGCGGUCAUACGUAGGGUGCAAGCAUUAUCCGGAGUGACUGGGCGUAAAGAGUUGCGUAGGUGGUUUUAUAAGCGAAUAGUGAAAUCUGAAGGCUCAACCUUACAGACUGUUAUUCGAACUGUAAAACUCGAGAAUGGUAGAGGUAACUGGAAUUUCUAGUGUAGGAGUGAAAUCCGUAGAUAUUAGAAGGAACACCGAUGGCGUAGGCAGGUUACUGGACCAUUUCUGACACUAAGGCACGAAAGCGUGGGGAGCGAACCGGAUUAGAUACCCGGGUAGUCCACGCCGUAAACGAUGGAUACUAGCUGUUGGAGGUAUCGACCCCUUCAGUAGCGAAGCUAACGCGUUAAGUAUCCCGCCUGUGGAGUACGGUCGCAAGACUAAAACAUAAAGGAAUUGACGGGGACCCGCACAAGCGGUGGAGCGUGUUCUUUAAUUCGAUGCUAAACGAAGAACCUUACCAGGGGCUUGACAUCCCUUGAAUUUUGUCGAAAGACGAGAGUGCUUUAUUGAGCAAGGUGACAGGUGAUGCAUGGCCGUCGUCAGCUCGUGUCGUGAGAUGUUUGGUUAAGUCCAUUAACGAGCGCAACCCUUGUGAUUAGUUGUAUUUUUCUAAUCAGACUGCCCCGGUAACGGGGAGGAAGGAGGGGAUGAUGUCAGGUCAGUAUUUCCCUUACGUCCUGGGUAGAAACGCGCUACAAUGGCUGGUA
rnacentral:rRNA from 1 species